GUCCUGUAGUUUGGGUGAUCCAGCGACCCCCUGCUGUUCACCGGUUGCGAAGGUGGCCAGGAUGAAGACCCCUUCACGGGCUGGACCAUCCCAGACCAUUAAAGCUGUCUGUCACUCUCCUCGCCCAGUUAAGAUAUUAACUGGUGUUAUUACUUAUCACGGACCAUCGGGACACCAGUUCCCUCAUCGUCCUGCUGGCCCUGGAUUAUCGAUGACGGACUUGCCACCUCUCAUUCCCCUUCUAAAGAGCUACGCUAAUCUUAGCUAAUGUAGUGUAGGAGUGUCAGGGAGGAAGCUGAACAUCCAGCUGAGAUGCAGACCAAGCUGCAUGUCAAACCAGGUGCAUAACAAAGAGAAGGACCCUCUCUUCAGCAAAGACAACAACCCAGAAGAAAAUAAGGGAAGUAAUAUUUCAUUAAAUUCUCAGCUUUCACUUAAGAUGUUUACAUCAGUCUUUUGAACCUGUAACUAAUUUAUGUCUUUUAAAUCUGGCAAAAUUUAUACAGACUACAAGAAGACCUCCAGAAGACUGCAGCAACAAUAAGGGAAGUAAUGUUUCCUUUAAUUCUCAACUUUCACUUAAAAUGUUUACAUCAGUCUUUCGAACCUGUAACUAAUUAAUGUCCUUUAAAUCUAACAAAAGUGAUCCAGGAAGAAGACC